CCUACAAUAGCUCAUCUGGCAGAGCGGAGGACUGUAGUGUGUGAUUGGCAAGUGAUCUUUAGGUUGCUGGUUCAACUCUGGCUCGAAGGA
rnacentral:tRNA from 1 species